AUUGAACGCUGGCGGCAGGCCUAACACAUGCAAGUCGAACGGUAACAGGAAGCAGCUUGCUGCUUUGCUGACGAGUGGCGGACGGGUGUGUAAUGUCUGGGAAACUGCCUUAUUGAGGGGGAUAACUACUGGAAACGGUAGCUAAUACCGCAUAACGUCCCAAGACCAAAGAGGGGGACCUUCGGGCCCCUUGCCCUCGGAUGUGCCCCGAUGGGAUUAGCUAGUAGGUGGGGUAACGGCUCACCUAGGCGACGAUCCCUAGCUGGUCUGAGAGGAUGAUCAGCCACACUGGAACUGAGACACGGUCCAGACUCCUACGGGAGGCAGCAGUGGGGAAUAUUGGACAAUGGGCGCAAGCCUGAUGCAGCCAUGCCGCGUGGAUGAAGAAGGCCUUCGGGUUGUAAAGUACUUUCAGCGGGAAGGAAGAGAGUAAAGUUAAUACCUUUCCUCAUUGACGGUACCCGCAGAAGAAGCACCGGCUAACUCCGUG
rnacentral:rRNA from 1 species